rnacentral:tRNA from 1 species
CCCGUGAUAACUCAGUUGGUAGAGCGGAGGACUGUAGUCGAUAUUAUCUAGAAAUCCUUAGGGCGCUGGUUCGAAUCCGGCUCGCGGGA